GAUUUUAAUUUAAUGGCCGCGGUAUUUUGACCGUGCAAAGGUAGCAUAAUCAUUAGUCUAUUAAUUGUAGGCUUGUAUGAAUGGUUGGACGAAAUAUUUACUGUCUCAUAAUUAUUUUUAGAACUUAAAUUUUUAGUUAAAAUGCUUAAAUUUUUUUAUUGGACGAGAAGACCCUAUAGAUCUUUAUUUUUAUUUUUUAAUUUUAUUUUGGUUUAUUUUAUGAUUUUAUUAUGUAAAUAUUUGGUUGGGGUGACUUUGAGAUAUAUUUAACUCUUAUUUUUUAUAUUCAUUUAUUUAUGUAUAUUUGACCUUUUAUUAAUGUUAUAAGAUAUAGAUACCUUAGGGAUAACAGCGUUAUUUUUUUCGAGAGUUCUUAUCGACGAAGGAGAUUGCGACCUCGAUGUUGGAUUAAGAUUACAUUUAUUUGGUGCAGUAGCUUUAAAUGUAGGUCUGUUCGACCUUUAAAUUCUUACAUGAUCUGAGU
rnacentral:rRNA from 1 species